UACGUAGGGUGCAAGCGUUGUCCGGAAUUAUUGGGCGUAAAGAGCUCGUAGGCGGCCUGUUACGUCUGCUGUGAAAUCCCGGGGCUUAACCCCGGGCGUGCAGUGGAUACGGGCAGGCUGGAGGCAGGCAGGGGAGAACGGAAUUCCCGGUGUAGCGGUGAAAUGCGCAGAUAUCGAGAGGAACACCGGUGGCGAAGGCGGCCUUCUGGACAGUGACUGACGCUGAGACGCGAAAGCGUGGGGAGCAAACAGG
rnacentral:rRNA from 1 species